GUGGUGGAGGAUGGACUCGCGGCCUAUCAGCUUGUUGUGGGGUAAUGGCUCACCAAGGCAACGAUCUUUAGUUGGUCUGAGAGGAUGAUCAGCCACACUGGAACUGAGACACGGUCCAGACUCCUACGGGAGGCAGCAGUGGGGAAUAUUGGACAAUGGGCGUAAGCCUGAUCCAGCGACGCCGCGUGAGUGAAGAAGGCCUUCGGGUUGUAAAGUUCUUUUAGUGGGGAAGAUAAUGACGGUACCCACAGAAAAAGCCCCGGCUAACUUCGUGC
rnacentral:rRNA from 1 species